AGUGGGAUAGCUGGGUCAAAUGGUGAUUCCAUUCCAAGUUUUCUAAGAAAUCUCCAUACUGUGUUCCAGAUUGGUCACACCAAUUUGCAGUCCCACCAGCAAU
rnacentral:pre_miRNA from 1 species